UCCACUGUCAAGUGGUCUGUUAAAUGUGCUGACAUGAUCACACUGCAUUCUGACAGAUUUAGGAGCCUGCCGGGCUUCCCACCCAUGCUCUUUCUCUCUCAGACACACACACAAAGUCUCAUUCACAUUUCGAACUGUGUGGACCAUGCAGGCACUACGUUUGGCUGUGCAAUAGACAACCUGAAGCUUCUUUCACCCUUAGUUAACCAGUUACUGUUAUGCAGACAGAUAGAUAGAUGACUUGCAGAUCACCAGAUGGGUAACAAUCAUUUUCUUUGCAUUUGUGCAGAGAUCUGUAAAUGGCUCAACCUCGUGGCCUGAAAAGUGCAGUGAGUAGGGUUACUGCUGGGGUGCCCUGCUCCUACAGCUUUGUCACCCUGAAGGGUUUUGAAAGCUGUGAGUACAAGGCUGGAGUCCCCAGAAGCCAGUGCUCUGGCUCAUCUGUCGAGAGACUCUCUAUCAGAGGGAAGAUCGUAUGGGGCUGGAGCCUCUGGAGUGCACAUGCUGGUUAAUAUAUCCUUGCAGAGGAAGUGUAGUCAAUUCUCUGCAAACGGUCAUCCGUCCCACCAGCCAAUAAUAUCAGGUGCUGAAAAAGUCCCUCCAUAUAAAUUAUCCUAUAUUAUCUAGCCAUCCUUUACAUUGGCCAGUACAGGAGCAGUAUGCUUGCCAGCUGUUCUCCCAAGUUUCCCUCAGCAGCAGCAUCCACAUCAUCAGUCUAAAGCAGCAGUGGCCUCCGAGAUGACACACAAUGUGUUCUGAGGAAGCACAUUUUACCCAGAAAAAUGAGAUAAUUCACUGAAUUCUCCCAAAGUGAGAGGACAAUGGGUUUCAAAAGUCCCCCUCCCCUCCCCUUUUCUUUUUCCCCUUGCUCUUUUAAACAUACAGCACUGGCUGUGAACACUGAGCUCUUGCUGCUUUUCAGGGAUGUGGUUUUGUGCUAUUAAUAAAGAAAGGCAGAAACGCUCAAUGAUUUCUGUUAAUGCAGAGUGAGGUGUGUGCUUGGCAAAAAAAAAGAUGCAGUUCAGGCGGAUUUGGGGUUUGGUUGCGUGCGUGUGUAUAUACAGAGAUAAAUAUAUAUACAUAUACGUUAAUGAGAAAAGGAAGAGGAAUUACCAUUUUGAGGGGGAAGUUGAGGGUCUUUUUAAACUGCUUCCCAGGGCCUUGUAAAGAAAAGCUGAGUGGGAGAAUAGGUAUUUUCCUCAAACCUUUCUGACCCCAGUGGUUGAAUUGUUGGCUUUGUUUUGUUUUCAUUAGAAUGUAGGAGAACGACGAAUUCCCAGCUCUUCUGCACUUAUCCCAUGUGGUUCAAGUAAUCAUGAUGCUGUGUGUGAAGCCACUGUCUAGAUUUCACUUUUGACCAGACACAUUUCAGUGGAAGCAAACUGCCCAUUCUAUGCUGCAGCUGCAGCCCCCUUCACCCAUCAUUGCCUUACAACCAGCCACUGUGCCUGGCCACUGCCGGGCUGCUCCACCCAGCACAGCCUCUUCCAUGGAGACCAUGGGGUACAGGCAAAUGUGGCCAGCAACCAGCUCCAUCAUCCAUGCGUGAUGCCAGAGGGGGAGUACAUGGAAGGCAGCUUCUCCUGGAGGAAGUGGGGAUGCCCCAGGAAGCUCCUGGGGAGGCAGCAGCACGUGCCACCGCUGCUGCCGUGUGCUGGACACAGAGGGACGGCUGGCUGGGAAGGUGGGGGAAGGAGGAGGGGAGAGAUGCAAACAGAAACAUCACUGCUGAAAUCUUUGCCAUCUGGCUUUAAGAAGAUGAACAGACAAUGUUGGUUGUUUUUUGUUGUUGUUGUGUGUUUUUGUCUUUUUUCUUUAACUGACAGAAAUUUAGUAGUUUUUUUUUGUUUGUUUGUUUGUUUUCUGUUUCUGUUUUUUUUUGUUUUGUUUUGUUUUGUUUUAUCAGCAUCUUUAACACAGCCUCCUAAACUCCCUUCUCCUACUCAUCCCCUUUGCUUGUCUAUGCAGAGCUAUUAAAGGCUUAUAAUGGAAAUAUUUUUGCAUCUAUGUAGUGGAAAACACCCGUUCAAACCGGAUGUUUGAGAUCACAGGGACUGACCCAGAAUCUGCACUGGGGCAGACAUGAAAGCAUGAAAAUUUCAUUCACAAAGGUUUUCUGGGACCAGCUCUUUUCUGCCUCAGCAGAGUCACGCACAUGCUGGCUCAGACGCUCCCACAGCGCUUCCAGCGCGGAGCCAGUUGCUUUCAAAGUUAUGCAGGGCUACAUCCUUAAUGGACAGAGGCCAUGAGCACGACUGGGAACAAUUACCAGCUGAAUAAGACGUUCAUCUGCGAGGGGUGCGCUUCUGCCAGCUACUACCCUUGGACGGCCCAGGGAGCGAGAGGCACAGUCAGUCCCACGCCUACUUGUUUUCCUUCCCUCCGCUGCCACGGUUUCGACUGAUUUUGAUUACCCUGGCGCCAAAUAAAUGAAAACAUUUCAUAGACAUAUAAUCACCCGUCACUGCGAAGAAAGGAAAAAUGCUUGUGUACCGCGUGUUUAUAAAUACGCCUAAUGAAAAAGGGAGAGCGCUGCCCUUCCCAGCCUCGUGUCACGUCGGGAAAGCCAGCCGCUGCUCGCGUCCCAGCACGAUCCGGGGGUGCCACGGGGGGAUGCAUUGCCCUGCCCUCUCCCCCCUGCCCAGGCUGUGACGUUCGGUGCGGGGUGUGAGAGGUUGGCCAACACAUGACAAGCUUAUUAAGUGAUGUGAGCAGAGUGCUAUUGCUUGUGACUGGACCUCUCAUCAGCCCAGACUCCCAUCCUGUGACUCACCAGUACUUCUUUCCCUUAGGAGUGCAGCCUAAAAGGAAAUUCACAUCCCAGUUAACUCUCGUUAGCUUUCUACAGUGUAUCUCAUCCCACUGACAACCAUGCAUAAACUGAGCACAUUUUUGUAAGAGAAUACAUUUAUUACAGCACUGCCUCCACACUGCAUUAUCAGACGUGCUGAUGUUGGGUGGAAGAGUGGCCAAACAUAGGAUGAUCGACACAUAAAGCAAGACUGAAGCUGCUCUUUAUGGAGCACCCUUGCUACACCCCAUCCUGCUUUCAGCAUUUCAGUCUGUUAUACAAGUAAAGGUGUGGAUGUUUUGUGGGCAGGAAGACAGCAGUUUCUGGGAAAACAAAUGCCUUCUUUGCUUGCUGAAGAGACUUUGCUCAACACAAAAACAGACCUGAUGCAACAGCUACCAGCUGCUUAAGAGAGUGAGGAUGGGAUCAGCUCCAGUCGUGCCUGCCACUAAAUGGCCAUGUGUGGGUAGGUGCCUGGCUCUUUGCUGGCCUGUAGGUAAAGACCUUCAAAUACAGAUACUCUUACAGCCACAUCAGAUUUUAUUGUAAUCAAAUGAGGAUACAUUCUGGGGAUUUGGGAUGUAUUUUUUUACUCUGACAGGGCCCACCAGGACAGUCACUGAAGUGGUAGAGGUGUGCUGUGGCUGGCAACGCAAGAAACUCAAGCAUUGUUUUGCAGGAUGUGCCUAAACCUCAGCUGCCCUCCACUUCAACUUAGCAUAUCUCCAAGCCAGCAAUUAACACAUCCAAGGAUUUCACAUUGAGGAAAGGGGAAAACCCAGACUUUGCCAUAAAUUCAUAUGGAAGAAAAAGCAAGCAAAUACAACAUGGAAAAAUGAGGCAGAUUCUCACAGUCCAUUCUCCUUCAUUUAAGGCCAGAUGAACAACAGCACUCCUCUGCUUUAUUUAGUGGAAAGUGAUGAGUUGCUUUGAAAAAUGUCACCAAAAGCAUCCAAAAAUGUAAACAGUGGAACAUAGUUGACGACAGUAUCUACACAGUCCUGCUGAAGUGUCUAAAAACAAGAAACCAAAGAGACGGUGAACCCUGGAAAGCUCUCCCCCACUCAUGAGUAAUCCCACUGAUUCUAGUAAAACAUCUCACAUGAAGAAACGUAAGCAUGUUACCUGUUUUACUGUGCUUGCUUUGUGAUUUUAUCGAUGGAAGUUCAAACUCAGCCCUUGCAGAUUUAAUCCAAGUUCAAUUCUUGCCACUGUUUUGUGUUAUUAUUUAUCCAGCUUGAUCUGGUUCUCUCUUUUAUUUUCAGCCAAAUUGGAAUUUGCUGAUGCAGUGAUUGAGAAAACGUACAGUGGUGACA